UAACAGUUUGGAAAUAAGAUCUUGUUUUAAUUUGAGGAAAAACAAAUAAUUCCUGAUAUAAUUCCCAGCCUAAAUGCAACUGCAUGGAUCUUCUUUUGAGUUUUCCCAUCAUGUCUGUAGCCAGGCCUGGAGCAGGACUUGCAGCCAACUGUGCAAGCUGACCACAGCUCCACACAUCUUGGACAAUGCUUUUUCAGCUUGCAGCAGGCUGCUUUGCAUUUGUUGGAGUUAAUACCAACUGUGUCCACCUUAUGGGUUGAACAGCUGCCAGCAGACCUGUAUGGAAAGCUCUGGAAAUGGCUCACUUGCAUGUUUUUUUUUUUUUUGUAGGCUUUGAACAAAAUUCUGAGCCCUUCAAAAGGACAUGGAGUAAAGUUUUUCAUACACACAUUUCAUACAGAUGAGUCUCUUCCGACUCUAAGGGCAACUGUUCAAUCUCACUGCUCCCAAAAUGUUCAGACAAGGCCAUGUCAAGGCUCAGCUUGAGAAAAAAACCCAACAUCACAAAAAUCCAGACUUACCCUUAAUAACGUGUGCAAAUGCUACGGCCAAGCUCUGUUUGUAAGGAAAGAUUUGGACAAAAGGCUCGGUCCCUUCCCCCUGUGACCAGGAAAAGGAUCAACGACAGAGGUCCGUCAGGCUCCAGUGUGGGACUGCAAUGUGUUGAACACCAGUUGGACAAUAGCAGCCAAGGCCUUGCUAUGAAGUCACCAUGGGGAUCAGCAUCAGUGAGGCUGCUUCUUUCUGGAAAUAUUUCCUUUCCUGAAGUGCUUUGAAGAGGAAGAUCUGGUGGCAUUCCCCAGAGACCAACAGAUCAGCAGGUGGCAGCGAGUGAAGACUGGAGAGACAAAGUUUAUCUCCUCUCCAGAGAAGCCUGUUAAAUAAGGUAUUGUGUGGGGGGAAGAGCCCCACAAGAGGAUGCAGAGAGCAUAUGGAGGGAGAAAGGAAGCAAAGAAACAGCAGAGAGCAUAAGGAAGUCUGAAGACAUCACAAGACUUAUUUCACAUAUGCUGUCCUAUUGCAAUGAAAGGAAUGAUGUCUGACUACAGCAAGAGGAGAUCUGGUCCUGCCUUUGUCACACAAACGGUCAGGUUUGUCUGAAAAGCAGCAUAGUUCAGAAGAUGCUCAGUACACUUUGAAUUUGUUCAUCUAUGUGGGUUUUUUCAUUGUUUUUAUUUCUGUUUUUCCCAUCUAAUAAGCUGAAAAACCUGCUUGGAGCUGUUUGUUUUUUUUAAUGGGCAUGAGAAAUUAC